rnacentral:rRNA from 2 species
GACGUAGGGGGCGAGCGUUGUCCGGAAUUACUGGGCGUAAAGCGCGUGCAGGCGGCUUUGUAAGUCCCGUGUGAAAGCCUACGGCUCAACUGUAGGAGGCCGCGGGAUACUGCGAGGCUAGAGGGCAGGAGAGGGAAGUAGAAUUCCCGGUGUAGCGGUGAAAUGCGUAGAUAUCGGGAGGAAUGCCAGUGGCGAAGGCGGCUUCCUGGCCUGUCCCUGACGCUGAGACGCGAAAGCUGGGGGAGCGAACGGG